UCUUGGUCAUUUAGAGGAAGUAAAAGUCGUAACAAGGUCUCCGUUGGUGAACCAGCGGAGGGAUCAUUACCGAGUUUACAACUCCCAAACCCCUGUAAACAUACCACUUGUUGCCUCGGCGGAUCAGCCCGCUCCCGGUAAAACGGGACGGCCCGCCAGAGGACCCCUAAACUCUGUUUCUAUAUGUAACUUCUGAGUAAAACCAUAAAUAAAUCAAAACUUUCAACAACGGAUCUCUUGGUUCUGGCAUCGAUGAAGAACGCAGCAAAAUGCGAUAAGUAAUGUGAAUUGCAGAAUUCAGUGAAUCAUCGAAUCUUUGAACGCACAUUGCGCCCGCCAGUAUUCUGGCGGGCAUGCCUGUUCGAGCGUCAUUUCAACCCUCAAGCACAGCUUGGUGUUGGGACUCGCGUUAAUUCGCGUUCCCCAAAUUGAUUGGCGGUCACGUCGAGCUUCCAUAGCGUAGUAGUAAAACCCUCGUUACUGGUAAUCGUCGCGGCCACGCCGUUAAACCCCAACUUCUGAAUGUUGACCUCGGAUCAGGUAGGAAUACCCGCUGAACUUAAGCAUAUCAAUAAGCGGAGGA
rnacentral:rRNA from 1 species